AGUGAACGCUGGCGGUAGGCCUAACACAUGCAAGUCGAACGGCAGCACAGUAAGAGCUUGCUCUUACGGGUGGCGAGUGGCGGACGGGUGAGGAAUACAUCGGAAUCUACUUUUUCGUGGGGGAUAACGUAGGGAAACUUACGCUAAUACCGCAUACGACCUACGGGUGAAAGCAGGGGAUCUUCGGACCUUGCGCGAUUGAAUGAGCCGAUGUCGGAUUAGCUAGUUGGCGGGGUAAAGGCCCACCAAGGCGACGAUCCGUAGCUGGUCUGAGAGGAUGAUCGGCCACCCUGGACCUGAGACCCGGUCCAGACUCCUACGGGAGGCAGCAGUGGGGAAUAUUGGACAAUGGGCGCAAGCCUGAUCCGGCCAUACCGCGUGGGUGAAGAAGGCCUUCGGGUUGUAAAGCCCUUUUGUUGGGAAGAAAAGCAGCAGGUUAAUACCCCGCUGUUCUGACGGUACCCAAAGAAUAAGCACCGGCUAACUUCGUG
rnacentral:rRNA from 1 species